rnacentral:lncRNA from 1 species
CUACUGUACGUCACUUUGGACAAAAGAGUCUGCUAAAUGGCAUAUAAAGAUUUAUUAUUACAUUGGUACGAGACAACCAGUAAACUUCAGUUUUUAAAUAAGAGAAAAUGGCUCAGAUCAGGCACUGAGUGUGUGUGUUGGAUCAAUACAGUGGGGCCAUUGGAAGAGGAGUGCUUGGCUUGACAGGAGGGUUCAGCCUUGGAGUGGAUGGAAUGGGGAGGGAACUCGUGGGCUCAUGGUCUAGUAAGAGCAACGUGGGAUAAAAGCACUCCCAGACUGAGCAUAGUAGGUGUGAGGGAAAGAGGGCCAGAGCAAGCCCGCUCCUGUGAAGGUAUCACAGACCCGUGUUUCGUAGCAAGGGCUAAGUGGUACGGAGGUGUCAAAAGGCCAGGGACCGUGACUUAAGGUGACCCGGAACUCUCUGACAAUGAGGGACCCCCAUUUGCUAUGGUAACGAGUGGUGGUGGAUGAACCUUCUGGAUGGUUUGGGUAAACAGUUGAUUCAAAGGGGGUGUGGCAGAUCCCAUAACUCUUCCGCGAAGGACUCCGGUAGGAUACUCUUGUGCUUCUUCGGCGGUAGGAGGCUAUCGAGGAGCGGAUUGCCCACUCCGCUCUACCUCUCAGUAGACGCAGGCUCCAGACAGACUCUCUCUACACAACACCUGAGGGUGGUUGAUAAAUCUGACUCGAUGGGUGUUCCAUCUGAACUUCAGUCACUAUGGAGACAGACCGACUCAUCUUAUAACACACGGUUGAAGAAUUGACUCAAAUUAAAUCAAGCUGCCAGA